rnacentral:rRNA from 1 species
AUGGACAGAUUCUCUAAGAUGGCUCAUUUCAUCCCAUGUCGCAAGACAACAGCUCAUCAUGUGGCAAAUUUGUUCUUUCGAGAAGUGGUCGGACUUCAUGGAGUACCAAGGUCCAUCGUCUCAGACCGUGAUACCAAGUUUCUUAUUGCAUUUUGGCUCACUUUGUGGAAGCAAUUCAACACUGAAUUGAAAUUUUCUAGCACUGCUCAUCCACAAAUAGAUGGACAAACGAAAGUGGUAAACAAGUUUUUGGGUAAUCUGAUCCGUUGCAUUUGUGGAGAAAGAAAGGGACAAUGGGAUUUGGCUUUAUCUCUUGCAGAGUUCUCCUACAAUAACUCCAAGCAUAGAUCCACAGGAAGGAGCCCUUUUUCCAUUGUCUACACUAAAGUUCCAACACAUGUGGUGGACCUGGUGAAGCUACCAUCAAGGGAAAACUCAAAAUCAGCAUUGUCCUUUGCUAAUAAUUACACUAAGUUAUUUGAAAAGAUUCAUGGUGUUUUGGAAGCACAAAAUCAGAAAUAUAAACAACUUGCUGACUGCAAAAGGAGGCCGAAAUCAUUCCAAGUUGGUGAUAAGGUGAUGGUAUACCUCUGA